AUGCAGUCCUAAUGAUCCUAAGGCGAAAGCAAAUAAAGACAAACCACCUGACUUCAGUGGCCCAGUCUCUUCAGGGAAGCAGCCACUUGUUUCCACAAAUGCGGAUGGUGACUUUCCUCCAACCUUUACUGAAAAUCUAGACAGGCUGGAGACAAAGGUGAACAAAUAAUCCAUCAGUAGUGGACCAAACAUGAAGAAAACAACAUGGAAAAUCUGUCCAGAUGUUUGAAGAAGCAAAAUGCACCUUCAGCUAUACAGAAUCUCGUCCUUCUGUCUUCUGCAGCAGACGCGGAAAAAUCAGUUCAAGAUUUCUUACUUGGCCUCAGAAAGUGGUUGAUUUUAAAUAUGUUGUGGCUUUGUUGUUUAUUGUGGAUAUGUUGGAUUUACCGUAUAUAUGCUUAUUUGUAAAGUGUAUUAUAUUUUGUGUUAUGUGUUUAUAUGUUUUACAUACU